rnacentral:rRNA from 1 species
UACGAAGAGGGCUAGCGUUGCUCGGAAUCACUGGGCGUAAAGGGCGCGUAGGCGGCCAUUCAAGUCGGAGGUGAAAGCCCAGGGCUCAACCCUGGAAUUGCCUUCGAUACUGUCUGGCUAGAGACCGGAAGAGGUAAGUGGAACUGCGAGUGUAGAGGUGAAAUUCGUAGAUAUUCGCAAGAACACCAGUGGCGAAGGCGGCUUACUGGUCCGGUUCUGACGCUGAGGCGCGAAAGCGUGGGGAGCAAACAGG